rnacentral:lncRNA from 1 species
GAAGUUCAUUUUUAGAAAUGUAGAUGUGAACCUGUUGUCUGGGAGGAUUGGGACAAUUCUCCGAAAUUGGUCUGUGAGAUGUCAGGGUUCAUACUGAUCACAAAGUGAUAAUCAAAUUGUUCUGUUCUUUGUCUCUACUCCAGAAAUAGCUGCAGUAUCAAAGAUUCCCAUUCCUGUUUGGAGUCAAUAAGGAUUUUGUUUGGGAUAUAUUGAGUUUAAUUUGAUAAUGAAGAAAGAAACAAGAAAACUCUUUGCCAUUAGGAUUUCUUGUCUUCUUCAUUAUCAACAUCAUGAUUUUCAUUGCCACCACUACCACCAGUGUCGUCAUCAUCAUCAUCAUCAUCACCAUCAACAUUGCCGUCAUCAUCCUUAUCAUCAUCAACAUCAUCAUCGUCAUCAUCAUCAUCACUGUCAUCAUCGUUGUCAUCAACAACAGCAGCAGCAGCAGCAGCAAACAACAACAACCAGUAAUAACAGUUGACAUUUCUGUAGUUCCAAGAUUGAAAAAUGCUUCAUCAACAUUAAAUAAAUAAUUCCAAGAGUUUUGUGACUCAAGAAUUAUUGACAAUGACUCUCCUGUCUUUCUUCUUGGGUGUUUAUUUCUGAUUCUUUUUCAUUACAAUUAAAUUGUAUAAUUAAUUCAUUAAUAUUUUAAUAAUUAAUAAUUGUAAUAAUAUAAUUAAUUAAUUGUAUAAUUAUAAUUGUAUAAUUCUGAAGCAUUUUCCCUUCUUCCUAAAUUGGUUUUAUUAAAUUAAAUAUGACAAAAGAUCAGAGACCUCCAAAUUUAGCCAAAAAGAUGAGUAUAUUGUCUGGGGAUAUCUAAAUGAUAAAGAAAAAAUCCAUAAAAUAAGCAAAGUAUACUCAGGAGAGGCAAAAUAGAAAACCUUGAACUUUGAGUCAAUAUAUGCCACUAAAAGGAGAGAGAUAUCCAGAAUAGGUAAAAAAGAAAUCUCUCAAGAUGAAUAAAGGGAAACAAAAAAAAAGCAUAUUUAAACUACUAUAAUUGCAUUAUAUUCAUAAAACAUUGAUUAUUUACUACGUACAGGGCACUAUGUUUUAGAUAUUCAAAACAAAAUAAAACAUCUUCUGCUCUCAAGAAGUUAGCAAUCUAUUGGUGGUAAUGCUAUGUAAAAAAUUAAACAAUAUAUGCAACAAGAACAUACAGAAUUCAUAUAAUUGAAUGACCUAUUUUGGGAAUUUUGUUGGAAAUAGCACUUGGGCUAUAGCAUAAAGGGAUCUAUGGAUUGCAAAAUGUGGGUAAAGGGAAAAAAAAACUUAACUAUCAAAGAUAGCAUAUUUAUUGUUUUUUUAUUUUUUCUGUAAUGUAGCUUUUUUUUUAAUUUCUAAUAUCAUUUUAUCUCCAAAAUAUGGAUAGAGAUAGUUUUAAACAGAUUGUUGUGUUCCAAAUUUUUCUUCCUUCCUCCAUUACUUCUUCCAUUUCCAAGACAGAAAGCAAUCUGAUAUAGGUUAAAUAGGCAGAAAUCUUUUAAAUACAUUUCCAUAUUUAUCAGACUAAAUAGGGAAAAAAGGAAAAAACAAACAAAAAUUGAAAAUAUUAUGCUUCAAUCCAUAUUCAGUAUCCCUAGUUCUUUCUCCAUUUUAGGAUGGUAUUUUCUAAUCCAAGUCUAUUGAAAUUAUUUUGAAUCACUGCAUUGUUGACAAGACCCAAGUCCAUCACACCUGAUCACAUAAUCUUGUAACUUUGUGCACUAUUUUCUUGUUUCUGCUACUUUCACUAAGCAUCAGUUCAUGAAGAUCUUCCCAUGUUAUGUUAUGUUAUUGAAAUGCUUGCUUUAUUCCAAAAAUUAAAAAUUAAAUUAAGAAACAGUGAGAGGAUAGGAGAGCCCAUAUUGUAUAUGAGAAAAAGGAAAAAGUCUGAUUUCACUCGAAUGUACAAUGUAUUAGAAAGAGAAAUUUGUUGGUCAGUCUGGAAAGAGAAGUUUUAGUCAUACUUUGAAAGAUUCUAAAAACCCAAGAGAGGAGCAUGAAUACAGAAUGAGAAAAUGGUAUGAUGGGAUGACUAAACUUGUUUUUAGAUAUAUCACAUUUGAAUAUGAGUGAGUGAUAUCUGAGGAUUAGAAAGUGGUAAGCAAGCAUACCAAUUUGGUGACUAUUGCAAUAGCCUGGCCAAGAGAUGAUGAGAGACUGAGUUAAAGUAGAAGGCAGUUUUAAUGAAAAUAAAAUAAAUUAUUCAAAGGAUCAGUGAAAUAUUUCCAUGGGUUGGCUAUACAAAUAUGAAUUAGAGGGAAUAUUUAUAGAUUAAUCCAAGGUGUUGAACACAGAUAAUUAUAAUAGUGUUCUUGGAAGAAUAAGCAAUUUUAGAAAAAAAUGUAUAUUUAGGCAUGAAGAUAAUGAGUUCCAAUGUGACUGUUGAGUUUGAGAAGCCAAUGGCCAUUGGGGUCAAAUAGAUGAUUGAUGAUGCAAGAUGAAAUUUCAGGAGAAAGACAAGUACUAUAUUUGAUAAAUACCUUCAAAGAGAUGAAAAUGGAAAUCAUGGAAUAUAAUAGGAUAAUAGAAUAAAAGACGUAAGAAGGAGUAAGAAAGGUCUGGGACAUAUUCAUACUUUUUUUUUUAUUUUUAUUUAAUAGCCUUUUAUUUACAGGAUAUAUUCAUGGGUAACUUUACAGCAUUGACAAUUGCCAAACCUCUUGUUCCAAUUUUUUACCUCUUACUCCCCCACCCCCUCCCCUAGAUGGCAGGAUGAUCAGUAGAUGUUAAAUAUAUUAAAAUAUAAAUUAGAUACACAAUAAGUAUACAUGACCAAAACGUUAUUUUGCUGUACAAAAAGAAUCAGACUCAUAAAUAUUAUACAAUUAGCUUGUGAAGGAAAUCAAAAAUGCAGGUGUGCAUAAAUAUAGGGAUUGGGAAUUCAAUGUAAUGGUUUUAGUCAUCUCCCAGAGUUCUUUUUCUGGGCAUAGCUGGUUCAGUUUAUUACUGCUCCUUUGGAAAUGAUUUGGUUGAUCC